rnacentral:rRNA from 1 species
AUUGAACGCUGGCGGCAGGCCUAACACAUGCAAGUCGAACGAGUGGCGGACGGGUGAGUAAUGUCUGGGAAACUGCCUGAUGGAGGGGGAUAACUAAUGGAAACGGUAGCUAAUAACGCAUACCCUCGGAUGUGCCCAGAUGGGCUUAGCUAGUAGGGGGGGUAAAGGCUCACCUAGGCGACGAUCCCUAGCUGGUCUGAGAGGAUGACCAGCCACGCUGGAACCGAGACACGGUCCAGACUCAUACGUGAGGCAGCAGUGGGGGAUAUUGCACAAUGGGCGCAAGCCUGAUGCAGCCAUGCCGCUUAUAUGAAGAAGGCCUUCGGGUUGUAAAGUACUGUCGGCGGGGAUGCGUUACCCGCAGAAGGAGCACCUGCUAGCUCCGUGCCAGCAGCCGCGGUAAUUC